rnacentral:rRNA from 1 species
UACGAAGGGGGCUAGCGUUGCUCGGAAUCACUGGGCGUAAAGGGCGCGUAGGCGGAUUUCUAAGUCGGGGGUGAAAGCCUGUGGCUCAACCACAGAAUUGCCUUCGAUACUGUUUGGCUUGAGUUUGGUAGAGGUUGGUGGAACUGCGAGUGUAGAGGUGAAAUUCGUAGAUAUUCGCAAGAACACCAGUGGCGAAGGCGGCCAACUGGACCAACACUGACGCUGAGGCGCGAAAGCGUGGGGAGCAAACAGG